CAUCAGAAGGCAUCCCGUCGCUGUCCUGAGUGCCGUGUUUUGGCAGGUCUGCAGCUUCAUCCACUGCGUCCUAAUAGUCCCCGGCGACAAAACAGACGCAGCAUAGUUUCACAAGAAGUCAAAGUGUAAGGGUGAAAGGACCCCACCUUAUGAAACCUCUUAUUUGAUUCUUCUAGGGGUUGAGCUUUGAUCUCGAAAGAUUACUGACGAUUGUGCAAUGACAGACGCUGUCAUACGCCUUUGAUAAGUCCAACGCAACUAAGACUGUUCUCUCACAGGGGAGGUUGCGGUUUAGGCCACGAGUUAUCUGGGUGUUUAUGGCGUUAAGUGCUGUUGUUGUGCUUUGCACUUUACGGACACCAUGCUGAUGCUUCACUGGGGUCAGGUGGUGGAUGAACUACGGGAGUAGCAGGGCCUCUAGUGUCUUCGCGACCGGGGAAAGGAGCGUUAUCGGGCGAUAAGAAUCUCCUUUGUUAGCGGGUUUCUCAGGUUUAAGCAGUGGGACCGCUCUCCCCGGUUUCCACACAUCAGGAAUGAUGAGAAUGGCCAUUGACAGGUUGAGGACCUUUGUGAGAUAUGCUAUGUUUCAGCAUAGGCAUGCACAUUUUGUCGGGUUCAUUGGCUUUAAAGGCUUUCGCCUUCCCGAUGGCCACAUUGACUUCCCCGCUGGUGAAAGUAAGUGGUGCACGGUUUUUGGGCAGUUUGUGCAGCCUUCUGGUCAGUCGACUUUUGGCCUUAUUCACCGAAGGAUGUAAUAUGAACAGCCGGCUAAAAUUGUAUUUCUUCGGGUCCGGCGAGGUGUGACCAUCGAAUGAAAUUUCCACCCUAUCGUCGCGCCUCGUCGGCUUGGACAAUGACCUCACGGUUGACCAGAGCUUACUCACACCAGAGGCGAAGUUGCAAGUCUUCAGAUGCUCUUCGCACUUCUUCCUCUAAUGUACGUUCACGAACUAAUUGCCAAAUCUCGCGAGAUGAGAUCCCUGAUACGGGGAUUCCCGGGAUCGGCCUGAUAAAUGUUGUCACGCUCAUCGGCAAGGACAGCUGCUUCAGCAGGAAAAUUCGGACGGGGCAGCAGCAGCCCCAACCAUGGGAAUUUAAGCUCACCUACGUGAACGUCGGUUCGUGUGGGUAGGGCAGUGAAGGUGCUUUCAGUAACAUCCGCGAAGCCUUUCCAGUCAGCUUUGGAGAAGUUGACAUAAGUCCGGUGAUCCGUGGAAGCAAAGUCGGCUGGUUUAUCAAUCGAGAUAACUAUGGGCAGAUGGUCUGAUUCUAAGUUCAGCAUAGCUUUAAUUACAACAAACGGUCUUUAUUUUUAAUAGUUCAUUUUUCUAGAAAGGUAUUUUUAUUUUAUUUUAUUUAAUUUUCGUAAAAUUUGGGUUAUACGCAUGAAACAUUAUGGAUGAACGCUAAACGUACACAUUUUACAUAUGUAAAACAAUUUUUAUAAUUUGAUUUUAUUGUAAUGAUACCUUAUGAUAAUGAAGUGUUUUCGCUCAAUAGGUAUUGCAAGAUAUUGCCAUACCAAAUUAAAUUAACGGUAAUUAGAAACUAACAAAAGUUGUGUAAAAAAUUAAGUGAACAAAAUUUGGACAGCGCAAAAAUUAUAUAAACAUAUACACAUGUGACAUAAUAAAUUACAAUAAACUGUGUAUUAGGUAAAGAGUUCAAACAAAAAAAAAAUGAACAAUAAGAUGUAUAAAUAGUAGCAUACGUAUGUACAUAUAUGUACAUAUGUAUUAUGCAAUUAAAAUACUUAGAUACGAAGGCAACAAAAAAAAAUCAACGUACGAUGUACCUUAAUAUCAGCUGUGCAGAUUAAGAUAGAUGAAAAUAGUUAAUGGUAGUUGUAA